rnacentral:tRNA from 1 species
GCCGCCUUCGUCUAGAGGCCCAGGACACUAGGUUCUCAGCCUGGUUACACGGGUUCGAAUCCCGUAGGCGGUA